rnacentral:other from 1 species
AUGACGCUGCGGGGCCCGAGAUGCGUGGAAAAUCUCCGGGGCCAAUAAAUACCCAUAGGGAGCUGUCCCUGUCGGACUCUUGGGUUCGAUAUACGGUGCCCACCUAGUCCUUACGGCCUGGGAAGAUUUGACGAUAAACGACCCACGCGGCGUCAUC